rnacentral:tRNA from 3 species
GCCGAUGUAGCUCAGUGGUAGAGCAACUCCAUGGUAAGGAGUAGGUCGUCAGUUCAAUCCUGACCAUCGGCUCAA